rnacentral:rRNA from 1 species
GAUGAACGCUAGCUACAGGCUUAACACAUGCAAGUCGAGGGGAAACGAUAUUGGAAGCUUGCUUCCGAUAGGCGUCGACCGGCGCACGGGUGAGUAACGCGUAUCCAACCUGCCCACCACUUGGGGAUAACCUUGCGAAAGUAAGACUAAUACCCAAUGAUAUCUCUAGAAGACAUCUGAAGGAGAUUAAAGAUUCAUCGGUGAUGGAUGGGGAUGCGUCUGAUUAGCUUGUUGGCGGGGUAACGGCCCACCAAGGCGACGAUCAGUAGGGGUUCUGAGAGGAAGGUCCCCCACAUUGGAACUGAGACACGGUCCAAACUUCUACGGGAGGCAGCAGUGAGGAAUAUUGGUCAAUGGGCGAGGGCCUGAACCAGCCAAGUAGCGUGCAGGAUGACGGCCCUAUGGGUUGUAAACUGCUUUUAUAAGGGAAUAAAGUGAGUCUCGUGAGACUUUUUGCAUGUACCUUAUGAAUAAGGACCGGCUAAUUCCGUGCCAGCCGCCGCGGUAA